UACGGAGGGGGCUAGCGUUGUUCGGAAUUACUGGGCGUAAAGCGCACGUAGGCGGCUUUGUAAGUUAGAGGUGAAAGCCCGGGGCUCAACUCCGGAAUUGCCUUUAAGACUGCAUCGCUAGAAUUGUGGAGAGGUAAGUGGAAUUCCGAGUGUAGAGGUGAAAUUCGUAGAUAUUCGGAAGAACACCGGUGGCGAAGGCGGCCACCUGGUCAAUCACUGACGCUGAGGAACGAAAGCAUGGGGAGCAAACAGG
rnacentral:rRNA from 1 species